rnacentral:rRNA from 1 species
CAAUAGCGUAUAUUAAAGUUGUUGCAGUUAAAAAGCUCGUAGUUGGAUUUGUGGUGUGUGCCUUGGCGUUGGGAUUAGUUUCCUUUUCUGCCUCGGCCGUGCCAUCCUUGGGUGGAAUCUGUGUGGCAUUAGGUUGUCGUGCAGGGGAUGCCCAUCGUUUACUGUGAAAAAAUUAGAGUGUUCAAAGCAGGCUUAUGCCGUUGAAUAUAUUAGCAUGGAAUAAUAAGAUAGGUCUUUGGUCCUAUUUUGUUGGUUUGCGGGCCGGAGAAAUGAUUAACAGGGACAGUUGGGGGUAUUCGUAUUCCAUUGUCAGAGGUGAAAUUCUUGGAUUUCUGGAAGACGAACUACUGCGAAAGCAUUUACCAAGGAUGUUUUCAUUA